rnacentral:rRNA from 1 species
GGGACACGUGGUAUCCUGUCUGAAUAUGGGGGGACCAUCCUCCAAGGCUAAAUACUCCUGACUGACCGAUAGUGAACCAGUACCGUGAGGGAAAGGCGAAAAGAACCCCGGCGAGGGGAGUGAAAAAGAACCUGAAACCGUGUACGUACAAGCAGUGGGAGCACGCUUAGGCGUGUGACUGCGUACCUUUUGUAUAAUGGGUCAGCGACUUAUAUUCUGUAGCAAGGUUAACCGAAUAGGGGAGCCGAAGGGAAACCGAGUCUUAACUGGGCGUUAAGUUGCAGGGUAUAGACCCGAAACCCGGUGAUCUAGCCAUGGGCAGGUUGAAGGUUGGGUAACACUAACUGGAGGACCGAACCGACUAAUGUUGAAAAAUUAGCGGAUGACUUGUGGCUGGGGGUGAAAGGCCAAUCAAACCGGGAGAUAGCUGGUUCUCCCCGAAAGCUAUUUAGGUAGCGCCUCGUGAAUUCAUCUCCGGGGGUAGAGCACUGUUUCGGCAAGGGGGUCAUCCCGACUUACCAACCCGAUGCAAACUGCGAAUACCGGAGA